CCUACGGGAGGCUGCAGUGAGGAAUAUUGGUCCAUGGGCGCUAGCCUGAACCAGCCAAGUAGCGUGAAGGAUGACUGCCCUAUGGGUUGUAAACUUCUUUUAUAUGGGAAUAAAGUGCAGUAUGUAUACUGCUUUUCAUGUACCUUAUGAAUAAGGAUCGGCUAACUCCGUGCCAGCAGCCGCGGUAAUACGGAGGAUCCGAGCGUUAUCCGGAUUUAUUGGGUUUAAAGGGAGCGUAGGCGGGUUGUUAAGUCAGUUGUGAAAGUUUGCGGCUCAACCGUAAAAUUGCAGUUGAUACUGGCAUCCUUGAGUACAGUAGAGGUAGGCGGAAUUCGUGGUGUAGCGGUGAAAUGCUUAGAUAUCACGAAGAACUCCGAUUGCGAAGGCAGCUUACUAAACUGCCACUGACAUUGAUGCUCGAAAGUGUGGGUAUCAAACAGGAUUAGAUACCCUAGUAGUC
rnacentral:rRNA from 1 species